GAUAGUAUUGAUUUUACAUUGAUUUUAAUUUAUUGUAUUUUUCUUUCACAUGCCAUUGAAAGUUAUAAAAUAACUUUCAAUAAUAAACUUGAUUUAAAAUAAAUAUGUUUUAUUUAAACAUUAAACAUGUAAAUAAACUUGUAACAAAUUACUCUAAUUAAAGUCUAGAAAUCUCUAGAGCCCUAAACUUUAAACUUAACUUUUAACCUUGAAUAAAUACAUAAGUAAAAAUAGCCAUUGGUCAAUAAUUUCCCGCCAAAACCUUUGACCCCCUUUGUCCAGUGUGUCCAGCUAAUUACUAGCCCAGGAGCAGUCAAAGUGUAUAGUUGUGUUUUUGUAUUUUUGGAGAAAUCUUUAAGACCACUGACAAUAUUGAUAAUCCAUAAGCCAUACACACAAUCAUGCAAUAUACAGUAUUAGAGAGGGAUUCAUACCCAUAGUCUGAAUCUGCUUUAUGAUGAUGCAUUUGGUAUUUAUGCAACUGUAAUAAACAUCAUCACAGUGAAACAUCUUGUUUUCAAUUGCUGCUCCCGCU